CUGUUUAUUACCCAAAUGCUUUAGGUUUGAGUUCUUUGAACUUGGAAAGGACCUAGACAUCUGUAAAGGAAAGGACAUGGAGAGGUACUAUGAAAUUUUGGCACGGUUGAAGGAUUCUUAUUGCCAAUAUGGACCAGGACAUAAACGACUAAAGAAAAUAUUCGUCGUGCUUCACAAAGAACUGAAGCAUUUGAAACAGAUGAUCAAUGACUUUGCUGCUUCAUAUUGCAAAGAUCGAUAAACGGAUUUCUUCUCCAGUUUUGCCUGUAUCCAUGCUUACUGCAGUUUGUUCUGAUAUCUGCCAUGGUUGAAGGCCAUUCAACAUAAUGGUUAGAUUUUUCCAAAGAGGCUUAUUGAAAUGUGAUCAGUAAGUCAGUAACCUAAGCCUCCUAUUCUGAUAUCUUACUCGAUCUGGAGUAGGCGACUAGCCGAUCACCUUCUUCUUCUUCUUGCAACCGAUGGUUGUCUUUUGUUUGCAGAAGCAACAGUUGCCGGAACCCUAAAAUAUCUACAUUACCGGUUGAUACUAUUAUGCCUAAAUGCAUAAAAAUGAUAAGUUAAUGUAUUUAAUUGUAACUUUUUAAAGUUUAAGACUUAAUUGUUUUUUCGUAUAAAGUUCAAGGUAUAUUUGACAAUUUUCCUUAUUAUUAAAUAUGAUAU